AAAGACUUAGUCCUAACCUUACGGUUGGCUUUUGCUAAAUAUAUACAUGCAAGUAUCCGCGCCCCAGUGUAAAUGCCCUCAACCACCUGUUCCAAAAACCAAGGCCUUGAGGAGCGGGUAUCAGGCACACCCAAGUAGUAGCCCAAGACGCCUUGCCAAGCCACACCCCCACGGGUAUUCAGCAGUAAUUAACAUUAAGCAAUGAGCGCAAGCUUGACUUAGUUAUAGCAACAGCCUAGGGUU
rnacentral:rRNA from 1 species